UAAGGCAGCGAAGCCAAAUUUCAGGAAGCUGCUGAGUUGAUGGUUGAGAAGAAGAAAGUAGCAUUUGCUGCUGUAGACUGCACAUAUCCCAGUAAUUGAAAUCUGUGUACUCAAGAAGGAGUUGAAGGGUAUCCAACAAUCAAGUACUACAAUUAUGGCAAGAAGGGUGAGAGAUAUGCGGGUGGACGUGAGACUGACGAUUUCGUUCAGUUCAUGGAGAAUCCAGAUGAGCCACCGACUGCUUCACCACCUUCAUGAACCCGAGUGGAGUGAUGAGCCAAGUAGUGUGGAACAUCUAACUGAUGACUCAUUUGAUAUGUUUGUUGAUCAGCACGACUCGGUAUUGGUCAUGUUUUAUGCACCUUGGUGUGGACACUGCAAGGCGAUGAAGCCAGCGUAUGGUGAUGCGGCCAAGCAGAUGCACGACUCUGGGGUUGGUGAUCUUGCCUGCUUAUUGGGCUGGAUAGAAAUGGAGGAGCAGACAGACAGACAGACA